rnacentral:lncRNA from 1 species
CUCAGAAUCGUUCUAUAAGUUGGACAAUGCCCUUGAAAACUAACUCACUCGUUUAUUCAGUAUAACACCCGCCGUGGUUGCUCAGUGGCUAUGGUAAGAAACGGAAAACACUGAAACCUUGUGUGUUGUAAAUUUUUUUCCUCACUUGUAAAUAAACGAUUUCAUGACCAGA